rnacentral:rRNA from 1 species
ACACUAUGGUAAUUGUGUGCCAGCAGCCGCGGUAAUACGUAGGGUGCGAGCGUUAAUCGGAAUUACUGGGCGUAAAGCGGGCGCAGACGGUUACUUAAGCAGGAUGUGAAAUCCCCGGGCUCAACCUGGGAACUGCGUUCUGAACUGGGUGACUAGAGUGUGUCAGAGGGAGGUAGAAUUCCACGUGUAGCAGUGAAAUGCGUAGAGAUGUGGAGGAAUACCGAUGGCGAAGGCAGCCUCCUGGGAUAACACUGACGUUCAUGCCCGAAAGCGUGGGUAGCAAACAGGAUUAGAUACCCUGGUAGUCCACGCCCUAAACGAUGUCGAUUAGCUGUUGGGCAGCAUGACUGCUUAGUAGCGAAGCUAACGCGUGAAAUCGACCGCCUGGGGAGUACGGUCGCAAGAUUAAAACUCAAAGGAAUUGACGGGGACCCGCACAAGCGGUGGAGCAUGUGGUUUAAUUCGAAGCAACGCGAAGAACCUUACCAAAUCUUGACAUCCUCUGACCCCUCUAGAGAUAGAGUUUUCCCCUUCGGGGGACAGAGUGACAGGUGGUGCAUGGUUGUCGUCAGCUCGUGUCGUGAGAUGUUGGGUUAAGUCCCGCAACGAGCGCAACCCUUGUUCACUGUUGCCAGCACGUUAUGGUGGGGACUCAGUGGAGACCGCCGGGGUCAACUCGGAGGAAGGUGGGGAUGACGUCAAGUCAUCAUGCCCCUUAUGUCCAGGGCUUCACGCAUGCUACAAUGGCUGGUACAGAGAGUGGCGAGCCUGUGAGGGUGAGCGAAUCUCGGAAAGCCGGUCUCAGUUCGGAUUGGGGUCUGCAACUCGACCUCAUGAAGUCGGAGUCGCUAGUAAUCGCAGAUCAGCAACGCUGCGGUGAAUACGUUCCCGGGGCUUGUACACACCGCCCGUCAAGUCAUGAAAGUUGGUAACACCCGAAGCCGGUGGCCUAACCGUUGUGGGGGAGCCGUCGAAGGUGGGACUGGUGAUUAGGACUAAGUCGUAACAAGGUAGCCGUACCGGAAGGUGCGGCUG